AGAGUUUGAUCCUGGCUCAGGAUGAACGCUAGCUACAGGCUUAACACAUGCAAGUCGAGGGGAAACGAUAUUGGAAGCUUGCUUCCGAUAGGCGUCGACCGGCGCACGGGUGAGUAAUGCGUAUCCAACCUGCCCACCACUUGGGGAUAACCUUGCGAAAGUAAGACUAAUACCCAAUGAUAUCUCUAGAAGACAUCUGAAAGAGAUUAAAGAUUUAUCGGUGAUGGAUGGGGAUGCGUCUGAUUAGCUUGGUUGGCGGGGUAACGGCCACCAAGGCGACGAUCGAGUAGGGGUUCUGAGAGGAAGGUCCCCACAUUGGAACUGAGACACGGUCCAAACUCCGUACGGGAGGCA
rnacentral:rRNA from 1 species